rnacentral:misc_RNA from 1 species
AAGUCGUAACAAGGUUUCCGUAGGUGAACCUGCGGAAGGAUCAUUACUGUGAUUUUACCUUUCCACACAUGCGUGAGCGCACUAAACACACAAACCGUCGUACCACAUAUUCCAAAAGUUUUCUAUAUGAUACAAAAU